rnacentral:rRNA from 1 species
GAUGAACGCUGGCGGCGUGCCUAAUACAUGCAAGUCGAGCGAAUGGAUUAAGAGCUUGCUCUUAUGAAGUUAGCGGCGGACGGGUGAGUAACACGUGGGUAACCUGCCCAUAAGACUGGGAUAACUCCGGGAAACCGGGGCUAAUACCGGAUAACAUUUUGAACCGCAUGGUUCGAAAUUGAAAGGCGGCUUCGGCUGUCACUUAUGGAUGGACCCGCGUCGCAUUAGCUAGUUGGUGAGGUAACGGCUCACCAAGGCAACGAGGCGUAGCCGACCUGAGAGGGAGAUCGGCCACACUGGGACUGAGACACGGCCCAGACUCCUACGGGAGGCAGCAGUAGGGAAUCUUCCGCAAUGGACGAAAGUCUGACGGAGCAACGCCGCGUGAGUGAUGAAGGCUUUCGGGUCGUAAAACUCUGUUGUUAGGGAAGAACAAGUGCUAGUUGAAUAAGCUGGCACCUUGACGGUACCUAACCAGAAAGCCACGGCUAACUACGUGCCAGCAGCCGCCGUAA